GAAGAUUGGACGUCGGGCCGAUGGAUCGGUCGACGUAUCGACAGAAGGCUUCGGGUCGUGGACUCGGGCAUCGGGCCAAGAAGAGCGGGUAUUGUGCCAAGGAUAUCGGAGUUGCAGAGCCAACAGGCCGAUUGGGCAAUAGGCUGCAGGAAAGGACGAUGCGCCGAAGAAUCGGACGAAGCGUCGAGGGACCAAUGACAUGCCGGACAACUUGGUUAA
rnacentral:lncRNA from 1 species